GGUCAGAAAUAGAGUCUAUGUGACACCGACACGUGUCGCGUUAAAUGAAACGCAGUGUUGUGGACUUCGACUUUCAUCGUCUCUUCCAAUUGGGCUUCGCGUUGCUCUCCGGUUUUGAGACCCAGCGACCAUACGACUACAGAGAAAUCCUAAUCGGUGGUGAAGAACGCAUUUAUGAUUAUCGUUUCUCUUCGGAAUCGGUGGAUGGGACGAUCCAGUUCCUGUAAUGGUUUUCGUGGUGAUUAAUCGUCUUAAAUCCUCUUAAUUCGUGAGCCCACCUCGAAGCUUUUGUUUGCGAUGUUCGUCGGCGAGUUCUGGUAUAAAUAAGUUACGAUCUUUUCUCUGCGAAUCGCGAUCUCUACAUCUCAAUUCUACUCAUCUCACUCACAUACAUCUCGAUCCACACACAUCGCGUUGGCUGAGAUGUUCAUUCUUCCACUGUCGAGGUGCAAUUGAUCAGGUUUUUAGAUGUAAAAGCAUCUUCUUUUUCUUAUGAGUUUCAGUGAUUUGGAGCAGAAUAUGGGUACUCUUCAAGUUCUCUCCGUCUCUUUAGUUUCCCUUUUGUACACUUUCCAGUGAAUUUUUUUUUUUUUUUUCAUGUAAUCCCAAAAAAGUUUAUUGCAGUCUAAUGGCUAACUCAUCGGUUUAUCUUGCGCUGGCCACUGUUCUUUCACUUGAUGUGCGAGUUCUUAGAUCUGGGAGGCGAGGAACAUGAAAAGCUGUGGCGAGUUAAUUGGGUGUGAACAUGCUUCUUGAUGUAAAGAUUCUUCUUCCUUGAUAGAACAUGGUAUCUAGAUCACCAUAGAACCUGAGUCAUCACCACCACGUACUGGAGAAGGAUCCGGUGAGAAGAUUUGGACAUCAGACUGAACUUAGUGUGAUGUUGGAUGAAGAUUUAGUAGACUACAAUGGAAAUAAUAUAAAGAGAUGAUAUAGCUUAUGGUGGAAUCUGUAAGGAAACAAUCCCUGGAGCUGCAUGAGAAAAAAGGGAUUAUGAUUUAAAACAGUCUUUGGAAGCACAAUUAGUCUCAACGACAAAGAAAUGUGAAAAGCAAAAGAGAGAGCUUCAAGUUAGAAGAAACUUGAAGGAGAAGGAACUUGAAGAAAGAGAGGAAGAGCUUGAAUGGAAGGAGGUUGAACGAUCAUCCGAGAAUAGAAAGAGAUCCAAAGAUGAAUUUGAGCCUUCAUUGCUGGCUGAGAAGGACAGAGAGACGACGAUCCUACAAGAAUAGACUCAAUCAGUCAAUUGUUUUUAGUUUUCUUUAGACCAUAACAGAAGAAGUUGAUAAAAAAGGAAAAUACAGAAGAAUAAAAUAUUACAGAGAUAAAACUGCU